UGAUCUCUGCAACGGCCUCCCACCAAAAAAGAACAAUUUCCCAGCCAUCCAACGCUCCUACGCUCCCUUCGAGAACAUCGUUGAGGAUCAGGCAAGCGGAAUCCGGCGAUAUCAGAACGCCUCCAUCCAUUAACUCCAUCGAUAGGCAGGACAAGAAGUUACGAAAAAUACUGAAAGUGAAAAAGACGUACAAAGAACCAACAACCAAAUUCCAAAAAGUUAUUCCAUAGGUGUACAAAGGAGCGACAAAGAUCACAUAAUAACACCUUCAUUUGUUUGAGACUUACCAAAAGCUAUGGACGACAGCAGAGAGAGAGACAGAGAGAGAGGGAACUACGGCUUCUAUUGCACUACCCUGUACUAAUUGUUUGUUCAAUGCUGUACAAUGAGCUAUGCCAUCGGGAGCCAUGUAUGAAAUAUAUGAAUGUAUGAUGACACUAUACACUUAUAUAUCAUCUGUUAAUUAUGUAUCAAGUAUAAGCACCCAAUCAUCAACUUUCAUUAUAUUAUUGUAAAUGGUUA